UGGGGGAUAUUGCACAAUGGGCGAAAGCCUGAUGCAGCGACGCCGCGUGGGGGAUGAAGGCUUUCGGGUUGUAAACCUCUUUCGCUAUCGAACAAUGCCCGCUUAGGGUGGGUUGAGGGUAGGUGGAGAAGAAGCGCUGGCUAACUACGUGCCAGCAGCCGCGGUAAUACGUAGGGCGCGAGCGUUGUCCGGAAUUAUUGGGCGUAAAGGGCUUGUAGGCGGCUUGUUGCGCCUGCUGUGAAAACGCGGGGCUUAACUUCGCGCGUGCAGUGGGUACGGGCAGGCUUGAGUGUGGUAGGGGUGACUGGAAUUCCAGGUGUAGCGGUGGAAUGCGCAGAUAUCUGGAGGAACACCGAUGGCGAAGGCAGGUCACUGGGCCAUUACUGACGCUGAGGAGCGAAAGCAUGGGUAGCGAACAGG
rnacentral:rRNA from 1 species